AUUCCAGCUCCAAUAGCGUAUAUUUAAGUUGUUGCAGUUAAAAAGCUCGUAGUUGGAUUUCGGAUGAAUGCGACCGGUCCGUCGUUUUGGUGUGCACUGGUUGCGUCCAUCUUGCUGUCGGGGACGCGCUCCUGGCCUUAACUGGCUGGGACGUGGAGUCGGCGAAGUUACUUUGAAAAAAUUAGAGUGUUCAAAGCAGGCCUACGCUCUGAAUACAUUAGCAUGGAAUAACGCGAUAGGACUCUGGUCUUAUUGUGUUGGUCUUCGAGACCGGAGUAAUGAUUAAGAGGGACAGUUGGGGGCAUUCGUAUUUCAUUGUCAGAGGUGAAAUCCUUGGAUUUAUGAAAGACGAACUUCUGCGAAAGCAUUUGCCAAGAAUGUUUUCAUCA
rnacentral:rRNA from 1 species